GACGAACGCUGGCGGCGUGCCUAAUACAUGCAAGUCGAGCGAGCUGAAUUCAAAGAUCCCUUCGGGGUGAUUUGUUGGACGCUAGCGGCGGAUGGGUGAGUAACACGUGGGCAAUCUGCCCUAAAGACUGGGAUACCACUUGGAAACAGGUGCUAAUACCGGAUAACAACAUGAAUCGCAUGAUUCAAGUUUGAAAGGCGGCGUAAGCUGUCACUUUAGGAUGAGCCCGCGGCGCAUUAGCUAGUUGGUGGGGUAAAGGCCUACCAAGGCAAUGAUGCGUAGCCGAGUUGAGAGACUGAUCGGCCACAUUGGGACUGAGACACGGCCCAAACUCCUACGGGAGGCAGCAGUAGGGAAUCUUCCACAAUGGACGCAAGUCUGAUGGAGCAACGCCGCGUGAGUGAAGAAGGUUUUCGGAUCGUAAAGCUCUGUUGUUGGUGAAGAAGGAUAGAGGCAGUAACUGGUCUUUAUUUGACGGUAAUCAACCAGAAAGUCACGGCUAACUACGUGCCAGCAGCCGCGGUAAUACGUAGGUGGCAAGCGUUGUCCGGAUUUAUUGGGCGUAAAGCGAGCGCAGGCGGAAUGAUAAGUCUGAUGUGAAAGCCCACGGCUCAACCGUGGAACUGCAUCGGAAACUGUCAUUCUUGAGUGCAGAAGAGGAGAGUGGAAUUCCAUGUGUAGCGGUGGAAUGCGUAGAUAUAUGGAAGAACACCAGUGGCGAAGGCGGCUCUCUGGUCUGCAACUGACGCUGAGGCUCGAAAGCAUGGGUAGCGAACAGG
rnacentral:rRNA from 1 species